rnacentral:rRNA from 1 species
UACGUAGAGGGCAAGCGUUGUCCGGAUUUAUUGGGCGUAAAGAGCGUGUAGGCGGCCUUACAGGUCAGCUGUGAAAACUCGAGGCUCAACCUCGAGACGUCGGUUGAAACCGUAAGGCUAGAGUCCGGAAGAGGAGAGUGGAAUUCCCGGUGUAGCGGUGAAAUGCGCAGAUAUCGGGAAGAACACCCGUGGCGAAGGCGGCUCUCUGGGACGGUACUGACGCUGAGACGCGAAAGCGUGGGGAGCGAACAGG